GGUUUAUUAGUGUAGUGGUUAGCACGUGGGAUUUUGACUACACUGUAAUCUUCCCGAGUCGCAGGUUCGAGCCCUGCAUAGACCU
rfam:Coniochaeta ligniaria NRRL 30616 unplaced genomic scaffold CONLIGscaffold_9, whole genome shotgun sequence.